UCGUAAUUAAUGGGGGCGGGACUAACAAGCUUGCCGUCUGUUCUGACAGUGAAGCUCUCUCAGCGCUGAAACAGACAGAAAAAAAAAUCACACCACUACCCAAAUCCUUCCAAUGGAGGAGGGCCAAGACGUUGAAGCUUGUUCGGCAAAUGAAAAGAACGUCUGCAAGCUAACGUCCUAGCUCAAGCAAAGAGAGAAGAAAUAAAGUUUAAAAUUGUGGACCCUCCUUUCUCUCUCCAGUUCCAGCCCCUGCCCUAUGGCCUUAAGGACACAUCCGCCAUAUUAGAAAAGUCUCCUUUUUACAUCAUGCUGGUGGUGGCAGGGGUCACAAUGCCCAGGCACCACUGGGGAGGUCAGGGAUUGAAUUACAGCUCCUAUCGAUUAUUGUUCCCACCACUGCCCUUCAGAGAGACCAGGACAGGAAAUGCAUCCUUCGCCCUAUGGACUCCUGAGAGGAACAGCUCCCCUAUACUGUCUGCAGUCAGAAUGGCUAGGUGUCAGACACUGCUCCUGCUUUGUGAAUGGAGCUGCUGUGACUUGCUUUGUACAUUUAGUUGAGUUGAUUUGAUCAGUGAGCUCCUCUUUCCAGGAAGUCGGUUAAAAUGUAGCUUAUUUGAAGUCUUCCACUUACUGUACAUCAGUUGUGUCGGACAGUAGCUCUUGGCUCUGAUGUUCCCACAUGCAUAUUGUACUUUCCCCAAACAAUAAAACCGCUUG